AUAGAAAGAAAAAACAAACAAACAAAAAACCCUAAAAAACCCAAAACAAAAAACAAACAAACAAACAAACAAAAAACCCUCUAUCUCGUUGAUCCCAGGACCUGUGCUGGUUUUAACUUCUCUGGGGCGAUUUCUCUUCAUCUGUUUUGUCCAUGCUUAUUCUUCGUUCUGUCCAUCCCAGUAAAUUCUCCCUGCCCAUCCCAUGGCCACACUGAAACUGGCAUAGCUAAAAUCCAGAUGUUGGACAUCAGUGCCCACCCUCCGUACUGAGGCUGAUAGAUUUGAGAUUCUAUCUUCCUUGACUUCUAUGACCUUAUUACCUCUCUUUCUGAUUUCGUUUCCAGCCUUCUAUGGUGCCCUUUUAACUCAUGGGUAUUCUCACAGAAUUCCCCCUCUGAGCCACACUGCUGUUAGCUGCUAUGGAUGUGUGUACUGAGGACUUGCAAAUCUGUAGAUUCAACCUUAACUGCUCCCCCUUUCUCUAGAGGGUCACCUCAGUAUGUGUCUUCCAAAGUAUCUCAAGUUCUACAUGGUCUUGAAGAAUGCACCAUCACACCCACUUUCUAACAUUUUGAUCCCUUCCUCUGUUCUUCUGAAUUUUAAAGUGGUUGGCUCUGAGAGAAGGUGGGGGCAAACUUUCAGAACCAUUCUGAAACACCGCAACCCAACCCCUAUGCUUUCCAGUAGCCACGUUAAACUUUAAAACAGAACAGAUGAGUGAAUUAGAAAUAGAUUUUACUUAACCUAAUUUUUGCCAAAUGUCAUUCCUUUAUAAGUAUUUACAUGUUAAUCAGAUAGCUCCAAUUCUUUUUAAAGGCUUGAAAACUAGAGUAUAAUUUGCUAUGGCACAUCUCAGUUGAAACUUCUCAUAGGAACGGGAACCUCGUCUGUGGCUAUUGGCUGCUCACUGCCACCUCCACAAAUCUCCCUUCAUCUAGCUAUAAUCCUGCAAGUCCCUUUUCACUUUCCACUCCCUGACUUUGAAUUGCACACUAGUUAUUCCUCAUUUGGGAUAUCGCACUGGCUCAUAAGAACCAAUUUUAACUAGGCCUGAGUGGGACCGGCCUAUUAAUCCAAGCUGUUUGGGACUGAGGCAGAAGGCUCACAAUUUCAAGGCCUACCUUGCCUAUAAGAGUAAGUUCAAAGCUAGCUUGGACAAUUUGUUUCCAACUAAAAAGUAAAAACACGACCAAGGCUACUGGUUAUUAGUGUAAUGUUUGCUUAGCAUCUAAGAGCCCUUAAAGAUAAACAGAUAAACCAGCCAUGCUUUCUCUGUUCAAGGGAGCACACUAGAUCCAUUGGAAUGAUGGACAGAGUGGAACAUCUACUUAUAUCCAGAGGAUAAGAAAUGUCCUAGAGUCAUUAACAUUUACUCCACACAUCGAAGCCGUCAUCCUUGAACUGAGUAUCUAAGAGGUCAGCAGUAAAGCCAUCAGGAUUAAGAAGCUGAUACGUAUCUCACGCAAAGGUUUUGAGACAGCUAAAAUUAUUCCUCAUUGCCACAUCAUAGUUUCAAAUUUAUCCCUGAGCAGUUUUGAUAUAAUUCAUACAAUCUAUGAAUACAAUAGUCAUAUACACAAUUUUUAAGAAUAUCACCUUUACUUAUUGAUGUGCAUGAGCAGAGACCAGAGGACAAAUUAAAUUACAGCAGUCAGUCCUCUCCCUACACCAGUCAGCUUUGGAAGCAAGAGUCUCUAUCCACUGAGAAAUCUGGUAAGC
rnacentral:lncRNA from 1 species